rnacentral:rRNA from 1 species
UAAUACAGAGGGUGCGAGCGUUAAUCGGAAUUACUGGGCGUAAAGGGUGCGUAGGUGGUUUUGUAAGUUAGAUGUGAAAUUCCUGGGCUUAACCUGGGGACUGCGUCUGAUACUGCGAAGCUAGAGUACUGUAGAGGAAAGUGGAAUUUCCGGUGUAGCAGUGAAAUGCGUAGAUAUCGGAAGGAACAUCAGUGGCGAAGGCGACUUUCUGGACAGAUACUGACACUGAGGCACGAAAGCGUGGGGAGCAAACAGGAUUAGAUACCCUGGUAGUCCAUGCUGUAAACGAUGAAGACUGGCUGUUGGUUGCCCUUGGGCAAUUAGUAGCGAAGCUAACGCGUUAAGUCUUCCGCCUGGGGAGUACGGCCGCAAGGUUA